rnacentral:misc_RNA from 1 species
AAAGUUAUUUAGAUAUAAGGUGAACAAAAUAAAAUAAACCAUACAAAGCAAAAAAAAAAACAAACAAAAUAUAUAUAUAUGUGGACUACAACAUCGCCUGUUGUUUCUAUAAGUCAUAUUUCUGAGUGAAUUAAAUAAAUCUGAAAAUAAGCGUCUCACACUUUGCACUGGUUUUAACAUUCAGUUUAGUGUCGCUGGCACCACAUAGGAGCAAAUAUCAAAAGCUGACGAGAAACUCCUCCGACCAGAACACUGUAUAUAUUUGAAAGCAUGCAGCAGGUCUGUGCCUAGCCAUAUUUCAGGAUGUAGAGGGUCAUCCCGUUUGAAGCGAGGAGCAGUCCAUCAGCGAACCCCUUUGAAUGUGACUAUGUGACAACCAGCAUCUCCAAGGAACACGAGCACAGCUGUUACAGCCAGCAGAACACAACACAUUUUAGGCAGUUUAGCACAUGUCCAUUAAGUGUGCCAGACCUUUUACCUCUUUGUUCUCUUAGUUGUGCUGGCUUUCUGAGUUUGGUUCUCUUGGAAGUGACUGUAAUGGUAUGGUUGGGGAAUGAGUGUGAAACAUGGAUGGGAAAACUGAGUCCUGCCAGGCUGGUUCAUGCCCUUCUAUCACCAGGCACUUUGCUGCUAGCUGUGUUGCUUGAUGUCACCACAAGUUAUUACUGCUUUAAUGCUCUAUUCAAGCUGGAAGCUGGCUAUAUCUUUAUAUGCCCCCAGCCAUUCUUCACUGUGUAAAACUUUCAUCUUUUAUAAUCUAGUUGGCAGAGAUUAGUGGGUUUGUUCGUUUUUUUUUUUUUUUUCCUCCCUAUCUUUUCCUUUCUUCUAUCAUAUUUUGUUCCUAAGGAACAGUCAUAAAAACAUUUCUAACAUUUCUGUAGCUGAAACUAUUGUACUUAAAGUAUGUACUCAUAUUCUAAAGAGUACUGCUAGAAUAAUUCUUCAGCUUUUCCACUCCCACUUCUCUGAUCUGUUGUAUUUUCUAUCUAGUCCUUCCCUUUGCCAAUGUCUCAUCUCUGCUGAUAGAUUCUUGGCACAGUUAAUGUCUCUGAAUUUGAAUGUAAAAUGAUUACUUUCUCUCUCAUCAUUUUAUCAACUUCACCUCUUUAACUAGUUUCUCCAUCUUAUUAUUUCUUUAUAUUUGGAAGCUUUCACUAAUAUUUAAAUUAUUUCUUCUAGGUCAUUACCUUUCCCUGUUUAAGUUUUAUCUAUAGUUGAGGGGAGUGAGUGAAGAUACUCACCCAUGUCAAAAUCAAUUCUGUAUCAUAUCAAAAGUUAGUGAAAUACAUUUUAACAACUUCAAUGCUUAUGAAGGUAAUUUUCUUACAUUAAGUGCUAUUUUUUUAUCCUUUAAUACUGUACAAAGGAGUGAUGAGAAUGAAUGUUUUACUAAAGGCAAACUGGUAAAUUUUAUAAGCUCCAAUGUCAAAAGCUGUGAUAGUUCCAUUUAACCCAAGCAAAAUGGUUUCACUGACUUCUCACAAAACUAAAAACAAAAAAAAUUUCUUUUUUGCCUUAUUUGUCUAAGAAUGAUUUUUAUAUUUCUUUUUCUUGUCAAGCUGUUUGGUUUGCGUCAUAUUAUCAUUGUUAUAUUAACUCUAAUUUUCAUGUAAUAUAAUUCUGUAUUAUAUUUCAAAGUUUAAGAAUUGUUAAGACUAUAUCUAGGUAGCUUGCAUUUUUAUUUUGUUUCUUGCUUGCAAAGUGAACCAUCACUUAGUUUUUUUUUCUGUUCCUUCUAUAAUUACUCACCAUGAUUUUCAUUCAUGCAAAUCAUAGAGUUGUCAUGAUAUUUUGUCCAACAUCAAAGACUAGCUUCUGUUCAUUUAGAGCCUGUUCUGGUUAAAUGAUUUCUUCAUCUUUAUUCAGGCUGUUACAUUAUUCAUCAACCCAGAUUACUCUCCACAUUUUCUCACAGCACAAGGUCCUACCUCUUCCCAUAUUAAUGGUUUAUUCCCGCUUCAUAAUUCUCUGUGGAAUUGUUGGGUUUCAAGUGCUGUUCUAAAUUGCCAAACACAUUCUUUCUCACACAUUUCUCUCUCUUUUCUCUCACACAUACACACACACAAGUAAUUUAUUUUAAUUUAAUGAAAUAGUCAUUUACUCAUUUCAAUCAUUGAAGGACAACUCCCUCCCUCCCUCUGUGUGUGUAUGUGUUUUAAUGUCCACUUUUCCAUAUUUGAAUGUCUGUGGGUAACUUUGAAGGCACAGAAAUAUGUGACUUUCUGUCUUGUACAUUUAAAUGCACAUACGAAAAAAAAAAAAAAAAUCUAAAAAAGAUGUUCACGUGUAGGACUCAA